rnacentral:lncRNA from 1 species
GAAACCCUACGGAUACGUGUUGUCCUGUUGGAAGUCCUCGCCCAGGCUCGCUCAGACCGGUGGCGGGAACGGGCGGGAGGUGGGCAGGGAAAUACACACACAGGCACGUUGUUAACCAGCUAGCAGGGGACGCAACGAGCACAGACUUUGCACAGCAAAACGAUAUGGGCAGUUGUGCACAAAAUGCAGAAACGUACUAAUACGCACACAGGUGGAUCGCGGGCAGUUUCGAAUUCUCCAUCGCAAGUAAAAACAAUAGCAUCCCCAGACAUACCCACACAUACGUAUACAUGCGGGCGCAUAUACACACACAUACACACACACACAUACUCUUACACACAACUACACACACACAUACUCUUACACACAACUACACAUACACACACCCGCGCGCGAGAGCACAUUCUCACCCACAUUUGAACACCUACCUACCUACCUACCUACCUACCUACCUACCUACCUACCUACCUACCUACCUACCUACCUACCUACCUACCUACCUACCUACCUACCUACCUACCUACCUACCUACCUACCUACCUACAAUUG